UUGCGCUGUCGAACUUUUCCAACAAUGACAGCUGUUUAUCAGUUAGUAACUUCUUUCCAAGUCCCCCUCCCUCCCCCUCCAAAGCCCCGUUCUUCGCCGCUUUGUUGUUUUAAGAUAUGCAUGUCUCUCCGGAAUGCCAGUCACGAGUCCAAACUUUGUGUCCAACCUCCCACAUGAAAUGAUCCUUUUAAAGGGAACUCGAUAUGUCUCAAUCUGCUUUACACUACGCUCAAAGCUUUUGGGUAUAUGAGACAGACCCUCAAAUAUAUUAAUUAAAACGAAUUGUUUAGUUUUACGUAAAUAGUUGUACCAGGACGUAAAUUUUAAGAAGACACCAUUUGCAACGAAGUUUAUCGUUUUCUCUCCAACGGCUAAAAGGAGGUCCGCUGAAAAAGUAAGACUUUUGUUUUGACUUUGUCCCGCUACUUCUCGAUAAUGCAUGCGUUGGAGUGAAUGGGUAAGCAAGAAGAGAGAGAGAGAGAGAGAGAGUUAGAGAGACAGGGGAGGGAGAACCGGGAGUGAGAGAGAGAGAGUAGAGGAUGUGCUUGUGUGCGCCUGAGUUUUACUCUGGCUGUCACUGACAACAAAUUAAUCAACACGUGGCAUUUAAACUAGAGAGUGCUAUUUUUUGUGUGUAUAUGCAUGUAGAGCUGAAAUAAAUCAAGUCGCCGGAAAGAGAGGACUCUGGAGAUCGGAAAGCAAAGUUUGCGUUGAAAGGGAGGGCGCAUGAAGCAAGAGCGCGAGGAUAAGCACAAUAGAAGAUCAAUGGCGGCGCCUGAUAUUCACCUGCUGGAGUACUGGGGGACUGCCCUCUGACUGACCCCAGUUCAGGGGUUCACCUGCCGUGCACCACAAACAGACGACCGCCGGGAAGGGCUUAGCCUUCUCAACCAACCGGAGGAUUCCACUUGUCUCGAAGGUCUGUCUCUUAUCAAACAUCUUUAUUUGAUAUGACGGCCCAGUCCUGCGUUCUAAUUAAUGUAAUGUAUCA